CAGGCUAGAGUCUUGUAGAGGGGGGUAGAAUUCCAGGGGUAGCGGUGAAAUGCGUAGAGAUCUGGAGGAAUACCGGUGGCGAAGGCGGCCCCCCUGGCCAAAGACUGACGCUCAGGUGCGAAAGCGUGGGGAGCAACCAGGAUUAGAUACCCUGGUAGUCCACGCCGUAAACGAUGUCGACUUGGAGGUUGUGCCCUUGAGGCGUGGCUUCCGGAGCUAACGCGUUAAGUCGACCGCCUGGGGAGUACGGCCGCAAGGUUAAAACUCAAAUGAAUUGACGGGGGCCCGCACAAGCGGUGGAGCAUGUGGUUUAAUUCGAUGCAACGCGAAGAACCUUACCUACUCUUGACAUCCAGAGAACUUUCCAGAGAUGGAUUGGUGCCUUCGGGAACUCUGAGACAGGUGCUGCAUGGCUGUCGUCAGCUCGUGUUGUGAAAUGUUGGGUUAAGUCCCGCAACGAGCGCAACCCUUAUCCUUUGUUGCCAGCGGUUAGGCCGGGAACUCAAAGGAGACUGCCAGUGAUAAACUGGAGGAAGGUGGGGAUGACGUCAAGUCAUCAUGGCCCUUACGAGUAGGGCUACACACGUGCUACAAUGGCGCAUACAAAGAGAAGCGACCUCGCGAGAGCAAGCGGACCUCAUAAAGUGCGUCGUAGUCCGGAUUGGAGUCUGCAACUCGACUCCAUGAAGUCGGAAUCGCUAGUAAUCGUAGAUCAGAAUGCUACGGUGAAUACGUUCCCGGGCCUUGUACACACCGCCCGUCACACCAUGGGAGUGGGUUGCAAAAGAAGUAGGUAGCUUA
rnacentral:rRNA from 1 species